rnacentral:rRNA from 1 species
AUCUAUUUUUCUAUUUCCCAAUAGGGAGGAAAAGAAACCAACAGGGAUUGCCUCAGUAGCGGCGAGUGAAGCGGCAAGAGCUCAGAUUUGAAAUCUCACCUAGUGUGCGAGUUGUAAAUUGCAGGUUGGAGUCUCGGGUUAGACGUGUGUGCAAGUCCCUUGGAACAGGGUGCCACUGAGGGUGAGAGCCCCGUANCGUGCAUGUCGACACCUGUGAGGCCCUUCUGACGAGUCGAGUUGUUUGGGAAUGCAGCUCUAAGUGGGUGGUAAAUUCCAUCUAAGGCUAAAUAUUGGCGAGAGACCGAUAGCGAACAAGUACUGUGAAGGAAAGAUGAAAAGCACUUUGAAAAGAGAGUGAAACAGCACGUGAAAUUGUUGAAAGGGAAGGGUAUUGGGCUCGACAUGGGAUUUACGCAUCGUUGCCUCUCGUGGGCGGCGCUCUGGGUUUUUCCUGGGCCAGCAUCGGUUUUCGUUGCAGGAUAAGGACAAUUGGAAUGUGGCUCCUCGGAGUGUUAUAGCCUUUUGUAGAUGCUGCGUAUGGGGACCGAGGGCUGCGGCGGACUCGUUUCGUCUCGGAUGCUGGCACAACGGCGCAAUACCGCCCGUCUAAAAACCGGGGAACAAAGAAAA